rnacentral:rRNA from 1 species
AUGACCCCAGGUCAGGCGAGAUCACCCGCUGAGUUUAAGCAUAUCAAUAAGCGGAGGAAAAGAAACUUACCAAGAUUACCCUAGUAACGGUGAGCGAAUCGGGAAAAGCCUAGCUUGAGAAUCGGGCACCCCCGACAUUCAAAUUGUAGUCUGGAGAAGCGUCCUCAGUGGCAGACCGGGCCCAAGUCCCCUGAAAAGGUACAUCGAAGAGGGUGAGAGCCCUGUUGUGCCCGAACCCUGCCACACCACGAGGCACUGUCCGCGAGUCACGUUGUUUAGGAAUGCAGCCCCAUCAGGCAGUAAAUUCUAUCCAAGGUUGAAUACGGGUGAGAGACCGAUAGCGAACAAGUACCAUGAGGGAAAGAUGAAAAGGAUUUUGAAAAAAGAGUCAAAGAGUGCUUGAAAUUAUCAGGAGGGAAGCGGAUGGGGGCCGGUCUACCGAUCGGCUCGGGGCAUGGACCGACGCGGGUCACGAUGGUAGCCUAAGCCUGGGCUUUUGAUGUGCCCAUAGAGACGUCGCCACUAUGAUCGUGGAACGCAGCACACGUCGUCUCGGCGUGCCCCGGCACAAGCGUGCUAUAGGCAUUGGCCUGCAGGCUCCCUAUCCGACCCGUCUUGAAUCACAGACCAAAAAGUCUUACAUGCAUGCGAGUCAAUGGGCCAAAAAACCCGUAAGGCGCAAGGAAGCUGAUUGGCGGGAUCCCUCACGGGUGCACCGUCGAUCGACCUUGAUCAUCUGAGAAGGGUUCGAGUGCGAGCAUGCCCGUCGAGACCUAAAAGAUGGUGAACUAUGCCUGAGCGGGAUGAAGCCAGAGGAAACUCUGAUGGAGGCUCGUAGCAAUACUGACGUGCAAAUCAUUCGUCUGACUUGGGUAUAAGGGCGAAAGACUAAUCAAACUGUCUAGUAGCUAGUUCCCUUCGAAGUUUCCCUCAGGAUAGUUGGAGCCCCCGUCGAGUUCUAUCGGGUAAAACCAAUGAUUAGAGGCAUCAGGGGUGCAAUGCCCUCGACCUAUUCUCAAACUUUAAAUAGGUAAGACGGCGCGGCUGCUUCAUUGAGCCAGGCCACGGAAUCGAGAACUCCAAGUGGGCCAUUUUUGGUAAGUAGAACUGGUGAUGCAGGAUGAACUGGAAGCCAGGUUACGGCACCUAACUGCGCGCUAACCCAGAACCCACAAAGGGUGUUGGUCGAUUAAGACAGUAGGACGAUGGUCAUGGAAGUCAAAAUCCGCUAAGGAGUGUGUAACAACUCACCUGCCGAAUCAACUAGCCCCGAAAAUGGAUGGCACUUAAGAGCACGACCUAUACCCGACCAUCAGGGCAAGGGCCUGGCCCUAAUGAGUAGGAGGGCACAACGGUCACCGUAAAACCCAGGGCACAAGCCCGGGCAGAGCGGUCAUCGGUGCAAAUCUUGGUGGUAGUAGCAAAUAUUCAAAUGACAACUUUGAAGGCCGAAGAGGGGAAAGGUUCCAUGUGAACGGCACUUGCACAUGGGUUAGUCGAUCCUAAGAGAUGGGGGAAGCCUAUCCGAUAGUGCAUCCUAUGCGAGCUUCGAAAGGGAAUCGGGUUAAAAUUCCUGAACCUGGACGCGACAGCUGACGGUAACGUUAGGGAGUCUGGAGACAUCGACGGAUGCCUCGAAAAGAGUUAUCUUUUCUGUUUAACGACCCGUCCACCUUGGAAACGGCUCAACCGGAGGUAUGGUCCAGCGGUCGAAAAAGUACCGCACGUUGUGUGGUGUCCGGUGCAUCCCCGACCCCUUGAAAAUCUGGAAGCCCUAGUGUCGUCCGUGCCCGGUCUUAGUCAUAACCGCAUCAGGUCUCUAAUUGUGAACAACCUCUGGUCGAUGGAACAAUGUAGGCAAGAAAAGUCGACAAAAUGGAUCCGUAACCUUAGGAAAAGGAUUGGCUGUGAGGGUUGGGCACGGGGGUCCCAGUCUCGAACCCGUCGGCUGCCAGUGUAUUGAUCGAGCUGCUCCCACAGUGAGAGUGGGUCACUGCGUGCCUGCCAGGGGACAGACUGGGAACGGCUCCCUCGGGGGCCUUCCUCGGGGGACGAACAAUCGACUUAGAACUGCUACGAACAAGGGGAAUUCGACUGUUUAAUUAAAACAAAGCAUUGCGAUGGUCCCUACGGAUGCUCACGUAAUGUGAUUUCUGCCCAAUGCUCUGAAUGUCAAAGCGAAGAAAUUCAACCAAGCGCGGGUAAACGACGAGAGUAACUAUGACUCUCUUAAGGUAGCCAAAUGCCUCGUCAUCUAAUUAGCGAUGCGCAUGAAUGGAUUAACGAGAUUCCCACUGUCCCUGUCUACUAUCCAGUGAACCACAGCCAAGGGAAUGGGCUUGGCAGAAUCAACGGGGAAAGAAGACCCUGUUGAGCUUUACUCUAGUCCGACUUUGUGAAAUAACUUGAGAGGUGUAGGAUAAGUGGGAGCCCUCGGGUGAAAUUGAAAUACCACUACUUUUAACAUUAUUUUACUUAUUUUAUGAAUUGGAGGUGGGGCACGACCCUUUCUUUUGGACCGAAGGCCAGCCUCGAUCGGUCGAUCUAGGCGGAAGACAUUGUUAGGUGGAGAGUUUGGCUGGGGCAGGACAUCUAUUAAAAGAUAACAUAGGUGUCCUAAGAUGAGGUCAAUGAGAACAGAAAUCUUAUGUGGAAAAAAAGGGUAAAAGCUCGUUUGAUUCUGAUUUCCAAUACGAAUAUGAACCGUGAAAGCGUGGCCUAUUGAUCUAUUAGACCUUCGAGAUUUGAAGCUAGAGGUGUCAGAAAAGUUACCACAGGGAUAACUGGCUUAUGGCAGCCAAGCGUUCAUAGCGACGUUGGUUUUUAAUCCUUCGAUGUCGGCUCUUCCUAUCAUUAUGAAGCAGAAUUCACCAAGUGUUGGAUUGUUCACCCACCAAUAGGGAACGUGAGCUGGGUUUAGACCGUCGUGAGAUAGGUUAGUUUUACCCUACUGAUGGCGGCAUCGCGAUAGUAAUUCAACCUAGUAUGAGAGGAACCAUUGAUUCGCACAAUUGGUCAUCACGCUUGGUUGAAAAACCAGUGGCAUGAAGCUACCAUGCGCUGGACUAUGACUGAACGCCUCUAAGUCAAAAUUCGAGACAGAAGUGACGUGCGCGCCUACCACCUAAUUGUCGACCCACAGUAGGGGCCCAUGGUCCCCAAGGUCACGUGCCGUAGGUGCAGCCCCCACAGCGGACAAGCCGCACGGGC